rnacentral:lncRNA from 1 species
UUGAUGCCGAGACUUUUACAUGUAUCCAUAAACUGCAGAUAUGCACAUCAGAUCCCUGCGAGCAUUUUCAAAAUUCAAUUAUUUUAGACAGCAGGCACAUAUGCAAUACUUACAUAAUCUCAAAUACCACUAAUCAGCUGGGACACAUUUUUGUUGACCAUACUCGCAGGUAAAAUAAGUAGAUCAUGUGGACAGCUCCAGCUCAUUUUCCUUAAAUCAGUGUGUACAAGGGUUAUGCAAAAAUAAUUUUUUUCUCGCACACCGAUUAUUUUGCUGUAUAAGCAAGAGAACCCACCACGUUAGUGUAACGUAUCUUGUACAUCACACUAAUAUGUGCUUUAAUUUAAUAAGUGAGAUGAGUUACUUUUAUGGCUCAUUCAGUCAUAUCACACUGCAAGCUGCAUUCAUCAAUCUUCAAUUGGAUUUUGCAAAUGUUUAAUGAAACAUGUUUCCCUUUUAUGCAGAUAUGCAAUGGCAAGCCCUUCCGUGUGUUCCGAAGACAAUGCCUACACCUAGCCACAGCAGCUCCCUCAUACAGACUCCGCAAGCCAAGAGGCCGUGGAGGCAAAUGCAGGCAGCCAGCACACCUCGAACAGCCACCUUCACUGCGGGUGUGUCACCCUAGUCGCCAAGGAAACAUUUGAGGGAAAGCGACAGGCAAUGUGAACAGCCACUUCUCCAUGUAAACGAUACUCUUUCUCUCGGAUGACUCCUACGCCUCGCCACGCCAUCACACUUGUGCACAAAGAUGCUGCGGAGGCACGUGCAGGUCAGAGGCAAGAAGCAGUGGUACUGGUGUCGACAUUCACCGAAUUUCUUUUUCUUACACUGAGGCAGCCAGCACACCUCGAACAGCCACCUUGACUGCGGGUGUGUCAGUAGAUUCCUGUUGUACAUAUGCUCAUAAUAAACUUCAGUAAACUUGAA